AAAUUCUCUUUUUUUUUCCUUCAGGAUACUAGAAUAUGAAAUUCUUAUAAUUAUACUCUGUGAAACAAGCUCUCGCACGCAGCACGCUAAUCAGAACCGCCGCCACCGUCCAGUCGCUCACUCUCUCGCGUUACGGCUGCCGGUCACCGUCUCUCACGGCGUGGCUACCAGUCAAUGUUGCUCACGGCGCGGCGGCUCUCUCUCUGUUUUAAUCACCAUUUCUCUCUCAAGCCGGUUACUCUCUUCCAUGCCCUAACUCCCCUGCCCAUUCUCUCGGCGCCACCAUUGAAGCUCGCCUCCGCCAAACCCUUGCGCGGAAAUCGUUGCGAUAGAGGUAAUAGAUUUUAAUUUUAAUUCUUCUAUCUUGAUCUCACUUUUCCUCAUUAUCUCUCAGAUUCGCCCAGCUUUGUGCCGCUGCCAUGUCUCCGCCUGCAUCGUUUCUGUUGAUGUCACUGCCACCACCAUGCCCGGCCGUCUCUGUUGUCGCUCUUAUAUGGUCAGUUCCUUGGCUUUUUAACAUAAAUUUGACUGAUCAUACAAGUAGAGUCCAAACCCUGACUUUUCAGCCAUAAGAAUACCUUUAUUCUUCCAUGUAAUUAAGCUAACAGAUUUUCUUAUUUUGUGUUGGCAGCCUAAGAAUUAUUUGUUAUUCAGUUGCAGUUAGAAGUAGUUCACUUGGAAAAUUGUUGCUUUCAUUAAACCAAUAAGAUUAUUUAAUUAACAAAACAGGAAUAACAUAAUUUUGUUAAAGCUUAUGGAUGUCGCAAGGAUGCUUGGGCAAAAUCUUUAAUGGAACUUGCAGGGCAGCAUGAUUAGAAUGAUCUUGUUCUUGACAACAUGCUUGGUGAUGAUGAUUAUAACAGUGACAAUUUGUUCGUCGAUGAUGCUGAGUUGGUGGAUACUGCUCUUUUAUCAAGUUGUCUUAUUUUUUAUGCAACUUUAUUUGAUUUCUUUCAAUAUAUUAAUGCUCAUGAGAUUAGCUUAUUCCUGCUUGAUUCAUGGUUCUAUGGUAAAUUAGUUAUCUUUUUUUGGUGGGCUUAAAUAGGGGGAAUGAAUAUGAGCGCAUUAUUCACAAAGUUGUGCAAGGGGCUGGCAGUGGUAUUAAUAGGCGCCACUUUGCUGUGCAGAUUUCCUCUGCUGUUUCUUAUCUAGCUCUCAUCCCUGCCAAGUACUCUAAUUUUACUCUUUGAUUUUUAUUAUUUGUGAUUAUUGUUAAUUUAAUCUUUUAGGACCGUGUGUAUAUGUGACAUGGAACAUUUAUUGCAAAUGGGGGUUGAUUUUCUUAGGGUGUCACUUAGGAUGGACAGUAAAAUACAGUAGAUGGAUAUUUGGGGGCUGAAGGUGUUACUUAUGAUCAUUACGAUCGUAUAAGGUCAAUAUGGAUUUUGAUGGGAUAAGUUUCUCUAAAGAAUUGGAAUGAUCAUGUCAAUUCUACAUUGGUUGCAAUUAUUGGAUAAUUAUGUUGUAUUGGGAGUAAAUCUUCAGCAAUAUUUAGAGUAAAUUCAAGACUAAAGACUAUUUAGUUUACUGAGAAUGAUACCUCAAUGUAGUGAAUUUCAAAUAGUAUAGAUUGCUAUUGUUGUUAAUAUUUUGUUGUUGAGGGAAGCAUUAUACUAUUAAGUAUUGUUGUUUCCUGCGAGCUUCUUUAGUUGAAUAUGAAUAAAAUAAAUAAACCAAAAGUUGUGACACACUUGAUGCCCUUUUGAUUUAAUGUAGGACAAUUCUUUUGCUUGGAAUCUCAUUACAACUGAAUAUGUUGAACAAUCUACGGGGUAUUUCAUUUUAUUAUUAUUUUUCUCCUUAAUUUUAUAUUUUGUAUAUAUAUUUCCCUUUCCUAAAUUAUAUAUGUCCUUAACAGAUUAAUGUUAAUGGAAAGUGCUCAAUUGGAGAGAUAUAUAAACUGCGGUCAGAGUUGGCAGGUUCUGUUCUAGAACAUAUGAUGAGUAUUAAGGUAUAAAAGUAUUCUUCUAGAUUUUAAUGACUGAUGAUAGUUGGAAAGUAUGACAAGUAGGUUUGGAAAUUUGUAUAGAUUCUUGUGAAUUCUUUUGACGAUGAGUAAUGAGUUUGUAUACAAUAAGUUAUAUUAUUAUUUGUUGAUGAUGAAAAUAAUGAAAUGGUUGAACAUAGUAUUGUUGUUGAUGAGUAGGGGACAUAUUAUUAUUUGUGUUGAUGAAAAUCAUGAAAUUUGUUUAUGAUGAUUUUGAUUGUGAUUGUUAUUGUGUGAAGGAUAUGGUGAAGAAAAGAAGACAACAUUGGACAUAUUGGUUGAUGCAUCACAUUUUGAAGGAACGAAGGAGCAACAAGUGUUAACUCAUUUGAAUAUUAGGAUCGAACUUAUUUGGUAGUAGAUUUACAAAUAUUAACUCGUUUUAGUUAUAUAUAAUUAGUGUUAGGAUUUAACGUAUUUUGUAAUGGAUAUGCUAGAACUGAUUUAGUUGAAUUUUAAGUUGUAAUGAAUACUGGAAUUUUGUCAUGAUUAUGUUAUAAAAUUUCUCAUGAUUUUCUCAUGCUUUUAAAUAAAAA
rnacentral:lncRNA from 1 species